UCGAGCUGUCAAACAGAUAAACAAGCGUUAUUUGGACACAAUGAAACAAACCCAGCUGCUUUGGGUGCUGUUAGAGAAUACAUUGAAACAGCAAUUAGUGCAGUAGAAGAUCACAGUAGUAGGAGACACGCAAGCAGAAAGGACUCUCCCUACUUUGUUUUUACAUUUGCAGGUGUGAAAUCUAAGCCAGGAAUGCCCAGAGCCAGGAAUGAACCUUGUAACACAACCAGGAAUACAACACUGAUUUCUCAAAGUGCUAGUUCUUAACUCUGUCACUAAAAACACUGUUCUUCAAGUCAAAACAUUGAGAUGCAACUUGAAUUUUUACUGUAGGGAACAUGCUGAAGGUCACAUGCAGCCAAAGGGCUGUUUGUACACAGGCGUGUUAGUCCUUCUCACUUCUUCUUCCCUUUCAGGCUGUGCAUCCCCAGCAAACCACAAAUUCCUCAGCCCGGCAGCACUGUUCCAGCCACCUCUCGUAGCUCUGGGACGUCAUCCUGUACAAGUACACGAAACGCCUCUUCCCUGAGCAUUGAGCCUCACACAGGCAGAAAAGUCAGCAGCAACCCGCAUGGUUUGAGAGAGGCAAAUCUGAGUUAUCUGUGCUCUUGAAACAGCCUGGAAAUCUGCAUGGCACCAUCCUCGACUGCCCUCACAAGUACAGACUCCAGCCUGUUGUGCACAAACAUCCCUUUGCAAGAGAAGAGAAAGAAGUUCGAUGCUCAUCAGCUAGGACCAUCAAAACGCACCGAAAUGCAGACCCAGAAAAGCUUCUGAUCUGAAGUGCCCAACUCUUCUGCACUGCCCAGCUGCCACUCCUGGCUUUAUGUUAUCCUGCACAGCAGACACAACCAGGCCCUCGUGACGUGGGUGAGCGUGGCACUUUAAAGCACAGCACAGGAUUCCCCCCUACAUCUUUGCUUGCAGAAGCUUGUCCCAUGGAUCUUCUCUCACCAAAACAUGUUGUCAUCUAACAUUGGGCAGUUCUGGAUGAAGCUGUGCUUGGCCCAUACUUGGCAAGACAGUCACACGUAUUCCUCAAUCCCAUGUCAACCUUACAUCACUUUUAAUAGCAAAUUAUGCUAAUAGGGCAGCAGCUAAUACUGCUACAUUAUAUUAUAUUAAGUAGACCUCAAAGCAAUUCUGCUCUGCAGUGAGGUUGCUCCUGUUGUUAAGCCCCAGCAUUCAUUAGUGCCCGUCUCGUUCUUCCUGCACGAACCUGACAAAGACACUCUCUGCACCUUGGGUAGCACUUCCAAGGAUGAGCUAUGUGUCCACCCUCGAAAUAUUUUCUGCUUGAACCUCUUCGUAUCUAUUCUCUUGGCAGCGCUCACGUUGCGGCCCACCGUAAAUAUCUAAAAGAAAAAUGCAACAGAGGUCAAUUUGCAGUCAGAUCAGCUGCAACGAGAUGCUAAUCGAACUGGAGAAAUACAGAAGCCAUUUCACUCAGUAAAAUCAUGCCCAACAUUUGCCAGUAAACGUGUUGUGCAGAUUAUCCAGUUUAACAUCUGUGCCUUACAAACAAUUUAGUUGGGGUAAGACAAUUAUUAUCCCCUAUUUUCAUCAGAAUUAACAGACAUCACAAUUAACAGACAUCUUUACUCCACAGCAUCCCAGUGACCUCAUGAAACAUAACGAGGCACUGAGUUUGCUUUCAGUUACCUUCCAUCGAAUUUUCACUCUUGUCGAUUUACUGUCUGAAAGCACUCGUGUGCUCUUAAAAAACAACGCAGACAGAGAGCUCCUGAACUCAGACAAGAGGAUAAAUGUCCGGCAUGGGCAGGCACGGUGGGAGAAGGGGUUUUGUUUCUUCAAAUAUCGCAACCUGAGCCAGGUUUCCAUUGCACUGACUUUUCCUCUCCCUCAGACCCAAAGAGCCAGAAACAGAUGUUCAUUUUGAAGAAAAGGGUUACAGACAUAAUGAAAU